rnacentral:rRNA from 1 species
UACGUAGGGUGCAAGCGUUGUCCGGAAUUAUUGGGCGUAAAGAGCUCGUAGGCGGCUUGUUGCGUCGACCGUGAAAACCCGGGGCUCAACUUCGGGCUUGCGGUCGAUACGGGCGGGCUAGAGUUCGGUAGGGGAGACUGGAAUUCCUGGUGUAGCGGUGAAAUGCGCAGAUAUCAGGAGGAACACCGGUGGCGAAGGCGGGUCUCUGGGCCGAUACUGACGCUGAGGAGCGAAAGCGUGGGGAGCGAACAGG